GAGUGAGGGCCUUCGGGCUCGACCUCCAACCCUUUGUGAACACAACUUGUUGCUUCGGGGGCGACCCUGCCGUUUCGACGGCGAGCGCCCCCGGAGACCAUCAAACACUGCAUCUUUGCGUCGGAGUUUAAGUAAAUUAAACAAAACUUUCAACAACGGAUCUCUUGGUUCU
rnacentral:misc_RNA from 1 species